rnacentral:rRNA from 1 species
UACGUAGGUGGCAAGCGUUGUCCGGAUUUAUUGGGGUUAAAGGGUGCGUAGGCGGCCUUGUAAGUCAGUGCUGAAAUAUCCCGGCUUAACCGGGAGGGUGGCAUUGAUACUGCAGGGCUUGAGUAAAGUUGAGGUUGGCGGAAUUGACGGUGUAGCGGUGAAAUGCUUAGAUAUCGUCAAGAACACCGAUAGUGAAGGCAGCUAACUAAGCUUUAACUGACGCUGAGGCACGAAAGUGUGGGGAUCAAACAGG